AACUUGCUGGACACCUGAAGCCCAUUCUGUGAGGCAUCAUUCUGGUUCUGAGGACUACACCUCUCACCAGGAAAAGCAGGACAAAGUUCUCCAGUUCACCUGGAUGGAGCUCAGCUCAGUGCACUGGAGCAGGCACUCCACAGACAGAACAAUGCUGCACCUGGCCACAAAGAAAGCUUCCUGACCUGCACACCAGGAAUUAAAUGAGGAAAUUUAACUGAAAGAGCCCACUUUGAAGGAGACAGCAAAAGUUGCCACGUACAAGAUUUAAAUGAACUGAGGAAGAAGAGGAACUACUCUGACACCAGGCUGGAGAAGAUGGAUUCUGUCCAGGAAAUCACACUCCAUCAGCUUCUGGGGGAACGGAAAUGAAGUUUCUUUCCAAAAGACUGCUUCACCAGUCAAGGCCUGAUGACCCCAACAUCGACAGGUUGGGAGCAGACAGAAGAAACACAGCAGGUAAGUGACCAUUAAUAAAUGUUAAUGAACAACCAACCCCAAACAUCAUCCCCUGGUUUGCCUGGUCUGAGAACACACUGAUAAGAGAACUGAAGAAUGAAUCUAAAUAAAAUUAAUGUAAAUAAAUCGAAACAAAAUAAAUCUAAAUAAAUAAAUGAGCAUCUAAAGUGAAAGGAUCAAUAGCCAAUAGGAGAUCAAAUACUGAGAAUUGUGCAAUUUAAGACCAAUGAACUCUGGGGUUUGUCUGUUAAAAUAUGUGAAAAAUCUAGACCUCAAACAUCAUCCCCUGGUUUGCCUGGUCUGAGAAAAGACUGAUAAGAGAACUGAAGAAUGAGGACUAAAUGAGCAUCUAAGGUGAAGGGAUCAAUAGCCAAUAGGAGAUCAAAUACUAAGAAUUUGUUGUAAUUUAAGACCAAUGACCUUGAGAAUUUCUUUGGGGUUUCUCUGUAUAAAUAUGUUAAAAAUCUAGUAAAUAUUCAGGUGUGAUGGAAUGAUUUUCACUGCACAACCCAGGCAGUGUGUGCAUGAAAUGAUU